rnacentral:rRNA from 1 species
UACGUAGGGUGCGAGCGUUGUCCGGAUUUAUUGGGCGUAAAGAGCGUGUAGGCGGCCAGGUAGGUCAGCUGUGAAAACUCGAGGCUCAACCCCGAGACGUCGGUGGAAACCACCUUGCUAGAGUCCGGAAGAGGAGAGUGGAAUUCCUGGUGUAGCGGUGAAAUGCGCAGAUAUCAGGAGGAACACCAAUUGCGAAGGCAGCUCGCUGGAACGUAACUGACGCUGAGACGCGAAAGCGUGGGGAGCAAACAGG